UCUGUUAACAACUUCAAGGAGGAUGGGGAUAAUGAUUGGUUUAUGGACUCAUGGCAUCUUCAUCAUAUAGUGUUGAGGGCACAUGCUCUUUGAGUUGUAUGUACUCUUACUUCCAGUGUCUCUAUAUAUAUUGUUGUGUGUUUGGAUCUUCCUCUUGCAGGUCUCCUGGAUCAGUCCUUUGGAGCUGCCUCAUUUUCUCCUUUAUAUUCAGGACUUUGCUGGUACUUACUUAGGGAUGUUGUGGGUUGAGUGACUGUGAGCCUCCACAGUUAGUAUUGCGAUGGAGAUUAUUGAGAGUUGUCAAUGCUGGUCUCUUGUAGGGAGGAGGGUUGAGAUUGUGAGGCUUUAUAGCUAGGUUUUUGUGGGUUGAGUGAUGGUGAGCCAUAUAGUUUAUCUAAUUCUUUUCUGCAGGUUGUCAAGCUGGUCCUAAUUGUAAGGGAGUUUUUUUUUGUUGAGGGUUGAGUGAUUGGUUAGCCCUCAUAAAUUUUUUUGGAGUGCUGUGUGUUGCAUCUUGAGGGUUGAGUGAUUGAGGACUAUUUGUUUCUGUGGGUCUACUCUACCCAGUCUUGCUGUCUGUUUGUAAUGAAUAUUUGUCAGUGUGUCCUUGCUGAGUUGUUACACAAAGGUUAUUGUAUCUAUUCAAACCCCCCCCCCAUAGGUCUAUAAUAUGUUGUAGUUCAAGUGUACAUCUGCAUUUGUCCUGGGGUUGGUCUUGGCAGAAGCUUGCUGGGAUGGACUAUGUUUCUAUUGGUUGUUGUUCUGCUGGCUGUGGUAUAUGCUGAAUUUUGCUACUGUUGAGUUGAAAUUUGUGUAGUUCAUGUAUAGAUACUGCCCAUGGAUGGGUGUAUAUGGUUCUCUGCUGGUUGUUGAGUCUGUGGCUCCACUUGUGUGGCUUUGCUGGUGCUGCUGCCUAUUGUCUGCUGUCUGCUAUCAUACUGACUUUGGUCUUAGCUGUGUCUGUGGUUCAUGCUGCCAUGAUGUUGCUACUAUAUUUCCUUCCCUGUAGCAGUGUUGUUUUCUUUAUAGUGCAUGCUCUGGUGCUGUCUGCAGUUGCUUUCUUCUUGUAUUUCUGAACUGUAUGCUGCCCAACCUUUGUUUUGUUACUGUUUGUUGUUGUCUUCCUGCUGGUAAGAGGUGGCUGAUCUGCUUGGUUGGUGCAGCAAAUUGGGCUAGUUUUUUUAUUGGGCUCUGUUUUUUGCUGAUCCUAAUGGACUUAGUUUGCAUUUUUUUGUGUUGUUUUUCUGUCUUUUUUGCGUCUUUUGUGUCAGUUUAUGUUCGUUUGAUGACAAUGUUGUCUGGCUAAAGAGCCUUUUGUUUUUUUCUUUGUGUCUGUUGUUAGUUCUGUGGUGCCUGAGGGAUGCCUCUUGUAAACCUAUAUAUGUUAUUGUUUUUAAUUUAUAACUUACUUACCUUAAAAAAAAAAAGAAAAAAAAAAACACAGUUUUGGCUCUAUGUUUUGUGAUUUAGUAAUUUCCUUCAAUAGUUUCAUCUUGUUUUGCAGGUCUAUGAGGAUGAAACAGUUUUGCAGGCAUUUAAAUUGAUGAGAUAAAAGGGAGUUGGUGGAGGUACCAGUGGUUGAAAGUGGUGGAAGAAAGACAAUCGGUAAUAUAAGUAUUAGAGAUGUUCAGUUCCUUUUAAUUGCACCCGAGAUCUACAAGAACUACAGGGGAAGCACUACAAGAUGAGAGGAUUAAUGGAGGGGCAUUCAUAGGCACUGAUGGUCUUCAAU